rnacentral:rRNA from 1 species
ACGUAGGGACCAAGCGUUGUUCGGAUUUACUGGGCGUAAAGGGCGCGUAGGCGGCUUGUCAAGUCACUUGUGAAAUCUCUGGGCUUAACCCAGAACGGCCAAGUGAAACUGACAUGCUAGAGUGCAGAAGGGGCAAUCGGAAUUCUUGGUGUAGCGGUGAAAUGCGUAGAUAUCGAGAGGAACACCUGAGGUGAAGACGGGUUGCUGGGCCGACACUGACGCUGAGGCGCGAAAGCCAGGGUAGCAAACGGGA